GCUUAUUUCUAGCAUUUUAUGUUAAAGUUAAAAGAUGGUUUACAAUACACGUAAAAUUCUGUAUAUGGUUUGACAUGCUCAAAUGCCAUGGCUUCAAGUACUAGAGCAACUAAUAUUGGUCCAUAGUCUUGAUAUAAAGUUUGCUGAUCUUUGCCUCUCUGUACAGGGGAUUGUUAGAGCUAUCAGUUCUCUCAAUAGUAGGCCUGAUGCAAUGCAAGCACCGACAGUAUGUGUCCUUGUUACCCAACUGAUUAAAUGCACAAGUACAAUGCUAAAUACUCAAGGUGAUGCUGAUCACUGAUGCCGUACCAUCUCAGUCUUGUGGGUUCAACUGAAGGUGAUGCUGAUCAGUGAUGAUGUUCGAAGUCCAAAUAUGGUGAUGAUUUUGACAGUAUACAAACUGAGAGUGUCAUAAUUUUCGUCUCCGUUUUGCUGAAUCAAAUUACUACAAACUGAGUGUCAUAAUUUUCGUCUCCGUUUUGCUCUGUGAGACAUAGUGAGAUAUUAUGUUGAACGCAACAAAGUGCAUUGGAUUCUUGUAUGACAGUGUAUGACAGUAUAUAUGUUGGUACUGUGUGUUCUUAUUCUUGUAUGACAGUAUGUGCUUAUUCUUGUAUGACAUAAUGUUCAUAUUAUGUGCUCAUUCUUGUAUGACAGUGAGCAGCACAUGAAA